GCCUGAUUAGCAUAGUGGCUAAUGCGUUGCACUUGUAUCCCACCUCCCCCCCGAGGUCCUAUUUGACGACAUGCAAAGAUCACAGGUUCGAGUCCUGUAUUAGGCA